rnacentral:rRNA from 1 species
GAUGAACGCUGGCGGCGUGCCUAAUACGUGCAAGUCGAGCGAAUGGAUUAAGAGCUUGCUCUUAUGAAGUUAGCGGCGGACGGGUGAGUAACACGUGGGUAACCUGCCCAUAAGACUGGGAUAACUCCGGGAAACCGGGGCUAAUACCGGAUAAUAUUUUGAACUGCAUGGUUCAAAAUUGAAAGGCGGCUUCGGCUGUCACUUAUGGAUGGACCCGCGUCGCAUUAGCUAGUUGGUGAGGUAACGGCUCACCAAGGCAACAAUGCGGAGCCGACCUGCGAGGGUGGUCGGCCACACUGGGACUGAGACACGGCCCAGACUCCUACGGGAGGCAGCAGUAGGGAAUCUUCCGCAAUGGACGAAAGUCUGACGGAGCAACGCCGCGUGAGUGAUGAAGGCUUUGGGGUCGUAAAACUCUGUUGUUAGGGAAGAACAAGUGCUAGUUGAAUAAGCUGGCACCUUGACGGUACCUAACCAGAAAGCCACGGCUAACUACGUGCCAGCAGCCGCGGUAA